CCCUUUCACAAGGAAAGUUACUGCAGAGCUGCCUUCGAUUACCCUACAGUAACUUCUUCAUGGUUUGCAUGCUCGGGAGAAGUCCUUAGACAAGAUAAAUACCCACUAAAGCUAUGAAUGACUUUACGCUUUGGCCCUGAGGCACUGUUGUAGAGGAUUACACCCAAACACAUUCAUAUUUUUGGAUAUUAGGGGAAGAACAAAGUAUGUGUUACAAUUGGCUUCCUAAAAAUAACUUUGCCUUUCUGCUUCUUCUCAGCAUGUCAUGAACCGAAGUGCAGCGGAACGACUGGAGUAGGAGAGCGACGCAGCCUGGCAGUCACCCAUUUUGUAAGGCAUUCUGAUAAUUUUGAAAGAGGGUCCCAUACAGCAUGGCAGCCUCCGCAGAACCUUCUUAGGAGCAUCUUCUCAUAGCAACGCACACACCCACCAGAAAGGUCUGGUUUUAAGAAGGAGCCUUAUGGACAGGAAAGCUUUUCACACCUCGUCUUUAUACUGAUUUCGUGACACUGGACAAUCACGCACUAUUAAUACCUCCUAUUGCAGAGACAAGCUGCUCAAUGUUUGAAAUGUCCCACUUUCCCUCGCUGGGUAAUGAGGGUCUCAUCUAAAAAUCGUAUACAUCUGGGAAAACCCCAGGUGGAGAAUGCUGCAAAUAUGGAGGCAGGAUGUUGUAUCUCAGUUACCCAAGAGAUGCAGAUGCAAUAUUGGGACUCCGCGACUUGCUUUUUGGACUCAUGAGGAUCCUUGUGAGCGAAGGAGAGGAGACAUUUUGCAAAGCAGAAAAUCUGGCAAGGUCCAUUGCAAACUCCUGAUUUCACCAGAGCCGGCCUACAUAAACUGUCUCACGUGCCCCAGGAAAACCCCCUUGCCAAGGUCUGCAAAUGAAGAAUUACCUGAAGAUUUCACCAGUUAAGAAAUAUGCCAAACCUGGCAACCCCAAUUUGUGGCUAUUUGAAAUGAACACCAUUUGGCUGUGAAAUCCCCCAGAAGAUCAUUCCGGCAAAGCAAAGCUUUUCCUCAAGUUAGCGAUCUUUCCUCUGAACACAUAAAGCUUCUCUUCGUUUCCCUUCACGGAAUAAUGCUCUAACAGAUGAGAUCUUCAUUUUCCUGGAUGCUACAAAGGAGCGCCAAAUCUGCUAACUUUACUUCCCAUUUGACGUAUGUUUUUCCCAUAUCCUGGGUAGAAAUAUCUCGGUGGGAAACAUGAAUCUUCAGUCAUGGAUGUAGUUACUGAAUGGACCUUUGCAUGAAAAGAGAGAACGACAUCCAUAGCACUGACCCUAGCAGCUGAAGAUGGUUAAAGCUUCCUAUUCCGUCUCACCGGCAUGUUAAUAAUAAGCACCAAGCAAGCAUCAAUCCACACAACUUCCUAGAAAUUUCAUUCUGAGCCAGUUACUGGCAAUGUGAAUUCAAUGCUACAAGCAAAAAAAACAGCACUUCAAUUUUUUGGAAUGUUUUUUGGAGUUUAGGUUUUAUGCUAAGUAAGACCUUCCAAAAAGGCGUUUUGUACUAAAAUUUCCAAACAGUCAGCGGGCAUCUGUUUUGAGGCAGAAGCAGCAGUCAGAAAUUUCCAAGCGUUAAUGUGUUAACCUGAUCUGCAAAGCACUGUGGCCUGUUUCACGUGUGCUCUGUCAGAUGGACUACACAAACCCAUUGAAAUCAAGAGAAAAAAAUCUUCCCUCAAUUCAAUGAAUUUCAGGUCAGACUCAAAAUAAACAGUCACAAAUCUCCUUCUAAUACAAAGCAUGUGAGUUCACUGUCUCCCACUGAUAGUACUUAAACCUAGAUUUUCUUUUGUGCCUGGUUUUGUGCCUUUAGAUAGAAGUCAUCUGCUAUGCUUUUCACAAAAGUACGCAAUACACUGCAUAAUUCUGGACACUGAAAGGGAAUUUUAAAAUCAUAUAGUGAAUGAAUUUGGUAGAACAUUUACUAGAUGUUUAAGAGUACAAUCCUAGAAACCUUUUUUGCAUCUGUACUAGCUAAACACUUCAGUGAAAAAUGUUCACAACAUACCAGUCGGGAAAAUAGUGCUGAUAUGGAGCACGUGCACAUGGAAGACAAGAAAUCCAGAUUACAGUUAGUCUUGGGACCUAAAGAAAUAGACUAUUUCUUGAUCCUGACUAAUAACCACACCAGAAGAAUGUGGGGUUUUUUUGUCUGCUUUGAUUUUUAAGAAAGAAGAGACACUAUGUCCGCAUUUUCAGAAAAACUACAAAAUGAGCGGAGCUGAAGGUGAAACUACUCAUAUUUUUUUCCAAGUAAUUCCUCCAGGGCAAGGUUAAGGGUUCAGCUGUUAAAAUGGACAUAUCACCAAUCUCAUUUCAAGAUAUGAUGAAAGUAAUGCAUUUAAAUGCAGAAGGCAAUUUGUAACUUCUUCGAGACAAUUUUUCAAAAAGUGCACUUUCGGAGAAAGCUAAGUAGUAUGCACUAUAUUUUAAUUUUUAGCAAAAUCGUAUAGGUAUAAAUUUUCUGUUCCCAGAUGAACAUUUAUAUAUCUUUUCAACACAAAAAUCCCUGUAACUCAUAAUAGUUAAAUCAGUUAAAUGUAAAAAGUGCAUUUUUAUAGCAACAAAAAAUGUAUCAUUAACUUCUUCCAGUUCGUGAUUUUAGAUGUUACUUGAAACUAAAGUAGCUACCAGUUUUUUGGGUGGAAACACAACGAUCAAGUUGGCAGCGCCCUUUUAGCAAAUACCUUUUAGCAACAUAUCUAAGUUUGAUAGACUCGCACAGGUUUCAAAUGAAAAUCAGAGCUACAUGCUGUAACAAAUACAACACCAAAUAUGCCAUAUUCACCUUUAAAGGACCAUUACAAAUUUAGAUCUACUUCUCAGUGGAAGCAAGAGAUGGGCAGUGGCUCCCGAGGGCAGAUGCUGAAAGGUUCAGGGACUGGGCACACACGAUAAAAUCGCGUCCAUGUGGAGCUGUCAACCAGUGGUUUAACCCCAGUGACAAGAUUUACCUUAAACCUUAGGUGGCUGAAGAUAUUGUACAAAUUCCUUUGCCUCUUCCUUAAAAAGAUCUGAUAUCAAAGCCUACUUGUGAAAGCGUUUAUCAACUGAGCUCCACCUUUCCACUGUAGAUACAGUUUAUAAAAGAGAUCCUCAAAGGAAAUAUGGUAUAUCAGCAAAAAAAAAAAAAAAACACCACCUUUUUGCCAGUAAAAGAUCAUUUACAUUAGGACUUUUGCCAGUAUAUAUGUUUUAAAAA